CACGUAGGGGGCAAGCGUUGUCCGGAAUUAUUGGGCGUAAAGAGCUCGUAGGCGGCUCGGUAAGUCAGGUGUGAAAUUCCAGGGCUCAACCCUGGAACGCCACCUGAUACUGCUGUGGCUAGAGUCCGGUAGGGGAGCGUGGAAUUCCUAGUGUAGCGGUGAAAUGCGCAGAUAUUAGGAGGAACACCAGCGGCGAAGGCGGCGCUCUGGGCCGGAACUGACGCUGAGGAGCGAAAGCGUGGGGAGCAAA
rnacentral:rRNA from 1 species